GCCCUCAUAGCACAGUGGUAGUGCGUCCCACUCGUACAGGAUGGAUCCAUGGGGAGGUCGGUUGUUCGAAUCAGCCUGUGGGCA
rfam:Jaapia argillacea MTCL 33604 unplaced genomic scaffold JAAARscaffold_14, whole genome shotgun sequence.